rnacentral:rRNA from 1 species
CCUACGGGUGGCAGCAGUGAGGAAUAUUGGUCAAUGGGCGGGAGCCUGAACCAGCCAAGUCGCGUGAGGGACGACGGUCCUAUGGAUUGUAAACCUCUUUUGUCGGGGAACAAAGGCGCCCACGGGUGGGCGGAUGAGUGUACCCGAAGAAAAAGCAUCGGCUAACUCCGUGCCAGCAGCCGCGGUAAUACGGAGGAUGCGAGCGUUAUCCGGAUUUAUUGGGUUUAAAGGGAGCGUAGACGGCUGUGCAAGUCUGAAGUGAAAGCCCAGGGCUCAACCCUGGGACUGCUUUGGAAACUGUGGAGCUAGAGUGCUGGAGAGGUAAGUGGAAUUCCUAGUGUAGCGGUGAAAUGCGUAGAUAUUAGGAGGAACACCAGUGGCGAAGGCGGCUUACUGGACAGUAACUGACGUUGAGGCUCGAAAGCGUGGGGAGCAAACAGGAUUAGAUACCCGGGUAGUC